ensembl:rRNA 5S_rRNA 5S ribosomal RNA
AUCUACGGCCAUACCACCCAGAACCCACCUGAUCUCCGAAGCUAAGCAGGGUUGGGCCUGGUUAGUACGUGGAUGGGAGUCUGCCUGGGAAUAUGGGGUGCUGUAGGCU